GGAUAAGGAACCAUAAAAAGGCAAAGUUGGAGCCCAUCAACAGUUAGCAGCAACUGGUCAACAGACUGAGUCACUUGUGUUUUCCCCACGCUGGUGCCCUAUGGGCAGCGAUAGUUUCUCCUGCCCAUCAGUUCCCUCAUCCACCUCCUUCCCAAUCUCCUGCGGCUGAGGAGGGGUCCAGGCAGGAGGAUGGUGGUUUGAAAAUGAAGCCCUAGUCACUCUGAGGAAUAGAAACAUAACCUUGGCAGUUGACCCAAGUGCCUUCUCCUUCAGUGCAGGCCCUGGACAGAAACCUGAGUUCAAGGACAACAAAACAAGUUAUCUUCAGAACUGUAAAAGCAACAGGCUCACUGUGACAUUGCCAUUUGGAUCAAUGGAAAACGCAAACAAAUCUUCAUUCAAGAAACAAAGUGACCUUACGAAGCAGGAACUAAAUGAAGCAACAUAUGCCCACAAAGCAACAAAGCAAAAGGCUGAUCACACAUUAUACUGAACAUAGGUACCAACUGUCUCUGCACAUGUACGAGUGUUUGUGUGAAAGAGUGUACACAUGUUGAUUUGUAUAGUUCAACGACUGUGUACACAUGUGUACACUUGUUGAAUGUAUCUUGUGAAUACCCCUCAAGUGGCAUUUCAAAAGAAGCAACAGAUUCAAAUAUAUGGGAGGGGCGCAUAAAGAAGACAGUCAUAAAAAUGUCAGAACAGUGAGACUGCUUUGCAAGUCCCCUCACUAUGCACUAUCUAAACAGAGCCAGCUCUAGGUUUGAGGGGGGUCUGGGCAAAGUCUUCAAGCCUUGCAAUACACCUUAUAUUUUAACUUUUCCCCCAAUUUGGUUCCACCUAAUUGUUCUUCAAAUGUUGCAUCCAUUUUCUGGUUGUCGUCUUCAUUGAAAAUGUUCUUCCAGUCACUAACACCACCUGAACAGAGUAGAUUAUAUUAAUAAUAUUCUGAAGUGAUGUGUAUUGAUCAAUUUUACAAUUGCCCUCUGGCUCCAGUCUUGUCCUGCUUUGAUAAUUUUCUUUCAGUCCAUUGAUGCAAUAUUGCUGCUAUUGCUUUCCAAAACAAAAUCUGCUAACUGUAGUGUACUCUUCAAAAAAAAAAAAAAAAA